rnacentral:rRNA from 1 species
GGCGCACGGGUGCGUAACGCGUGGGAACCUGCCCUUAGGUUCGGAAUAACAGUUAGAAAUGACUGCUAAUACCGGAUAAUGUCUUCGGACCAAAGAUUUAUCGCCUUUGGAUGGNCCCGCGUUGNAUUANAUAGUUGGUGGGGUAAUGGCCUACCAAGUCGACGAUCCAUAGCUGGUCUGAGAGGAUGAUCAGCCACNCNGGGACUGAGACACGGCCCANACUCCUACGGGAGGCAGCAGUGGGGAAUAUUGGACAAUGGGCGAAAGCCUGAUCCAGCAAUGCCGCGUGAGUGAUGAAGGCCUUAGGGUUGUAAAGCUCUUUUACCAGGGAUGAUAAUGACANUACCUGGAGAAUAAGCUCCGGCUAACUCCGUGCCANCAGCCGCGGUAAUACGGAGGGAGCUAGCGUUGUUCGGAAUUACUGGGCGUAAAGCGCACGUAGGCGGCUUUUCAAGUCAGGGGUGAAAUCCCGGGGCUCAACCCCGGAACUGCCCUUGAAACUGGAUGGCUANAAUACUGGAGAGGNGAGUGGAAUUCCGAGUGUAGAGGUGAAAUUCGUAGAUAUUCGGAAGAACACCAGUGGCGAAGGCNACUCNCUGNACAGUUAUUGACNCUGANGUG